GAAAUUGGACUACAAUAAAAUUGAGAGGCUUCAUGAAGAUCAGUUCCAAGGCUUGGUAAAGUUGAUCGAAUUAUAUCUCUCGGAGAACAAAAUCGAGGCUUUGCCUGACAAAAUUUUUAAAGGCGUCAAAAACCUUAAAGCUCUAGAUAUCUUCGGCAAUAAGAUACAAAACGUUUCCAGCACGACUUUCGCCCGUGCCCAC